GUGCUUGCUUCGACAGCACAUGUACUAAAACUGGAGCAAUACAGAGAAGAUUAUCAGGGUCCCUGUGCCAGGAUGACAUGCAAAUUUAUGAAGCAUUACAUAUAUUU
rnacentral:snRNA from 1 species